AACGAACGCUGGCGGCAGGCCUAACACAUGCAAGUCGAACGCUCCGCAAGGGGAGUGGCGCACGGGUGAGUAACACGUGGGAACCUACCUUCUGGUACGGAACAACCAAGGGAAACUUUGGCUAAGACCGUAUACGACCUCCGGGUGAAAGAUUGAUCGCCGGAAGAGGGGCCCGCGUCCGAUUAGGUAGUUGGUGAGGUAACGGCUCACCAAGCCUUCGAUCGGUAGCUGGUCUGAGAGGAUGACCAACCACACUGGGACUGAGACACGGCCCAGACUCCUACGGGAGGCAGCAGUGGGGAAUAUUGGACAAUGGGCGCAAGCCUGAUCCAGCCAUGCCGCGUGAGUGAUGAAGGCCUGGUUGUAAGUAUCUUCACCCACCGACGAUGAUGACGGUAGUGGGAGGAAGAAGACCCCGGC
rnacentral:rRNA from 1 species